rnacentral:snoRNA from 8 species
AGCUUAAUGAUGAUUGUCUUUUUGAUUGCUUAAAGCAACGUGAAAAUGACAUUUCACCGGCUCUGAGAGCU